AUUAAUAGAAGUAAUCAAAGGUUAGGAUUGCAACACUACAUUUCAUCUGACCAGCAUCCUUUAUAAAGUACGCUUAGAGGUGGGUGGAUGUUAGAAGACGUUUUCUCACAAGCGACUAUAUUUACCAAUAAUAAUUGACCAUGAGUUAUCAACAAGGAAAUUAUGGACCACCCCCACCACCACAGGGACAGUUUGCUUAUCAACAACAACCACAAACAGUAUAUGUUGUGAAAGAGAACGAUCAUCAUCACCACCACCAUGACCAUCACCGUGACGAGGAAGAUGCUGCUUCAUGUUGUUUGUUAGCCUGUUGCUAUGCUACUUUAUGUUGUUGUUUCGCUGCAGCGACGGGAAAUUAAAUAUUAUAAUUAGACUGUGUACAUAAACCCUACACAUUUUUUUUUAAUUUGGGAGACGGCAAGGAGAAUAACCAUUUCUUAAGGAAACAACAUGUCCCAUUCCCACGUGUGCCAAGGAAUCAAAAAUGGGCAUCGACACUGCCAAAAUGACGAAAGUGUCCGUUAAAGUGACAUAUUAGGCUAUUUUAUACGGUUUGUGAAAAAUAUGAAGACGUGAUUUUACGUGUAUUAAAUGAUACAACUCUUCAA